AUUGAACGCUAGCGGGAUGCCUUACACAUGCAAGUCGAACGGCAGCGCGGACUUCGGUCUGGCGGCGAGUGGCGAACGGGUGAGUAAUGUAUCGGAACGUGCCCAGUAGCGGGGGAUAACUACUCGAAAGAGUAGCUAAUACCGCAUACGCCCUACGGGGGAAAGGGGGGGAUCGCAAGACCUCUCACUAUUGGAGCGGCCGAUAUCGGAUUAGCUAGUUGGUGAGGUAAAGGCUCACCAAGGCGACGAUCCGUAGCUGGUUUGAGAGGACGACCAGCCACACUGGGACUGAGACACGGCCCAGACUCCUACGGGAGGCAGCAGUGGGGAAUUUUGGACAAUGGGGGAAACCCUGAUCCAGCCAUUCCGCGUGUGCGAUGAAGGCCUUCGGGUUGUAAAGCACUUUUGGCAGGAAAGAAAUCGCAUCAAUUAAUACUUGGUGUGGAUGACGGUACCUGCAGAAUAAGCACCGGCUAACUACGUGCCAGCAGCCGCCGUAA
rnacentral:rRNA from 1 species